AAUUUCUUUCUUUUAACAAUUAACAGCAAAUAGAAGAACUAAAGAGGUUGUUAGCAGAAGAAAAUAAAAAAGCAAAAAAUUUAGCAACAACCAAUGUGAGACUGAAUGGCAUUAUAAAAACUGGUCAGGACUCCCUGGCGCAGGAGCAAGCCUUGGUGGAUAAACUCAAGAUUGAAAUGGAGAAAAGCAAGGGGUCAAAUGGUGCAUCACCAAGCAGUGAAGUAGAACAGCUGAGAGCUAAACUUGAAGAGAAGGAAAAACAGCUGGAAAAGGAGAUGAUAGCAAAGAAACAGCUGUCCCAGAGACUGGUGAGUGGUCCUUAGCCUCCUGACCCUGGAGUCUAGCCUCCUAGUAGUUAGUGUGGGGACUUGGUCUUAUGUACAACACUAAUAGGUCAUCUAUACAGCACCAGUUUAAUUUUGUAUACAUUGGUUCAGUGUAAUAAGAGAAAAUAGCAAGAAAAUAAAUCUGGAGAGCCAACUGCAGGAUGACUUUGAUGAAGAUAUUUCAAGUAGAUGUUUCUAGUAUACGUAACAGGGUUGGAUUAAUGAUUUAGGCCCAUGAGCCGUAGGGAUUUGGUGUAGAUGUAUCCAGUAGUGUUCAA